CAGUCGCCACGGUAAUACGAAGGGGGCUAGCGUUGUUCGGAUUUACUGGGCGUAAAGCGCACGUAGGCGGACUUUUAAGUCAGGGGUGAAAUCCCGGGGCUCAACCCCGGAACUGCCUUUGAUACUGGGAGUCUUGAGUUCGAGAGAGGUGAGUGGAGUUGCGAGUGUAGAGGUGAAAUUCGUAGAUAUUCGCAGGAACACCAGUGGCGAAGGCGGCUCACUGGCUCGAUACUGACGCUGAGGUGCGAAAGCGUGGGGAGCAAACAGGAUUAGAUACCCCCGUAGUCCCUGUCUCUUAUAC
rnacentral:rRNA from 1 species